rnacentral:miRNA from 1 species
ACAACACUUUAAAAUGCAGACCCCAAGGUCUCAUCUCAGAAAUUCUAAGUAGGUCUGGAAUAGAGUCCAGGAAUUUGCAUUUUAAGGCAAAACCCAGCGUUAUU